GUGACUGCGUACCUUUUGUAUAAUGGGUCAGCGACUUAUAUUCUGUAGCAAGGUUAACCGAAUAGGGGAGCCGGAGGGAAACCGAGUCUUAAUUGGGCGUUAAGUUGCAGGGUAUAGACCCGAAACCCGGUGAUCUAGCCAUGGGCAGGUUGAAGGUUGGGUAACACUAACUGGAGGACCGAACCGACUAAUGUUGAAAAAUUAGCGGAUGACCUGUGGCUGGGGGUGAAAGGCCAAUCAAACCGGGAGAUAGCUGGUUCUCCCCGAAAGCUAUUUAGGUAGCGCCUCGUGAAUUCAUCUCCGGGGGUAGAGCACUGUUUCGGCUAGGGGGCCAUCCCGGCUUACCAACCCGAUGCAAACUGCGAAUACCGGAGAAUGUUAUCACGGGAGACACACGGCGGGUGCUAACGUCCGUCGUGAAGAGGGAAACAACCCAGACCGCCAGCUAAGGUCCCAAAGUCAUGGUUAAGUGGGAAACGAUGUGGGAAGGCCCAGACAGCCAGGAUGUUGGCUUAGAAGCAGCCAUCAU
rnacentral:rRNA from 1 species